rnacentral:rRNA from 1 species
UACGAAGGGUGCAAGCGUUACUCGGAAUUACUGGGCGUAAAGCGUGCGUAGGUGGUUCGUUAAGUCUGAUGUGAAAGCCCUGGGCUCAACCUGGGAAUGGCAUUGGAAACUGGCGACCUAGAGUGCGGUGGAGGGUAGUGGAAUUCCCGGUGUAGCAGUGAAAUGCGUAGAGAUCGGGAGGAACAUCUGUGGCGAAGGCGACUGCCUGGACCAGCACUGACACUGAGGCACGAAAGCGUGGGGAGCAAACAGG